UACGUAGGCAGCAAGCGUUGUUCGGAGUUACUGGGCGUAAAGGGUGUGUAGGCGGUUGCUUAAGUUUGGUGUGAAAUCUCCCGGCUCAACUGGGAGGGUGCGCCGAAUACUGAGUGACUAGAGUGCGGGAGAGGAAAGUGGAAUUCCUGGUGUAGCGGCGAAAUGCGUAGAUAUCAGGAGGAACACCGGUGGUGUAGACGGCUUUCUGGACCGUAACUGACGCUGAGACACGAAAGCGUGGGUAGCAAACAGG
rnacentral:rRNA from 1 species